GCACCCGUAGCUCAGUGGAUAGAGCACCGGACUUCUAAUCCGAUGGUCGCAGGUUCGAAUCCUGCCGGGUGCGCCA
rnacentral:tRNA from 5 species